AACUUUCAACAAUGGAUCACUUGGUUCUGGCAUCGAUGAAGAACGCAGCGAAAUGCGAUAAGUAAUGUGAAUUGCAGAAUUCAGUAAUCAUCGAAUCUUUGAACGCACAUUGCGCCCGCUGGUAUUCCGGCGGGCAUGCCUGUUCGAGCGUCAUUAUGACCAAUCAAGCUCUGCUUGGCCUUGGGGCCCGCUAUAUCGGCGGCCCUUAAAAUCAGUGGCGGUGCCGUCUGGCUCUAAGCGUAGUAAUACUUCUCGCUAUAGGGUCUAGUCGUCCACCUGCCAGAACCCUCAACUUUCUUAGGUUGACCUCGGAUCAGGUAGGGAUACCCGCUGAACUUAAGCAUAUCAAUAAGCGGAGGCU
rnacentral:misc_RNA from 1 species